CUAGGCCGAGGGCUCAUUGUACUAAUGUGGACCGAAAUUUUGCAGAUCUGUAGUAUCACUGGCCUGUGUGUUUGGCGGGUUGCUUUUGAGAUGUUAUUACAGCGGUGAUAAAUUAUUCGUUGCAAAUUAUAGCUGUGUGAUGGGGAUGUUAUUUCUAGUGAGCAAGUUGGCGAAGAGGUCCAUUUGUCGAUUAUACACUUGUUUUAUGGCAGUGGUUGCUAGGGUUGAGAUUACCCGUGCAUAUUGAGUGUGUUUUUACUCAUGCAAGUGUGUGAUGUGUUAAGUUUUAUACCCGUCUCAGUAACGUUUUGUGUAUUUAUGGUCUAAUAAGUAAUUAUAAUAGUUGUGUUUUUUCUCAGUGGUGAUCCGACUGUUUAUUAAAAACAUUUCCUUGCGUUUCUAGUGCAAGGUAGGGCCUGCCCGGUGCAGAGUAAACGGCCGCAGUAUUAUGACUGUGCGAAGGUAGCAUAAUUAAUUGCCUCAUAAUUGGGGGCUUGUCUGAAUGGCUUAACGCGAUUGUUACGAAGAUUACAACUUUUUGUGAAAUUAAUUUUACGGGUGCGGAGUCCGUAGUAGAUAAUAAGACGGAAAGACCCCAGGAUCUUUCAUUUUUGUCUGGGGCAGAUCCUGUUUAUUCAAUAGGUUUAUGACCCGCUGAUUGAUGGUUUAAGUUACCCUGGGGAUAACAGGGUUAUAGCCCAGUAGAGACCAAAUCGAUUGGGCUGAUUGCCACCUCGAUGUUGACUUGGGGGAGAUAGUUGACGCAGUCGUUGAUAAAUCGGGUCUGUUCGACCCUUAAACCCC
rnacentral:rRNA from 1 species